CCUGACCCGGCGGCCGCGCUGGUCUCGAGCCGGCUCCAAGGUCGGGGGUGCCCAGAGCCCCUUGGCCUUUUCCCCCGGGGCGACUCCGGGGGCCGGUUACCAGCAGUCGCUACCCUGCCUUGGCUGCCUCCGUGAAUCAGGUGCUAACCAGAGGCCUGGUCUCUGGGGGCUCCCCUGCCUGGGUUUUCUGAGGGCGACAGAUUUAGGCCGGGGGAUUUCCUGCGGCCCUGCCCGGUGCACCGAGACCGAGAAGGCUCACGGGUGGGGAGAGGUGGGCUACGUGACUCACCCCCGGGAGGCCUGACCUCCCUACGCUGGGGGAGCAGAUGGCUGGAUCUCUGACCGCAGACCCCACGGCCUUGGACGAUGUGUGCCCCUGAAUGUCUGCAUCGUGCUUCUGUCUGGAACGGAUCAAUUUCUAACCUGUAGCAGAAUUGUUCUGGGCAUUCUGUCAACGUUCGUAAAUUCUAAGUUUCUCUCCGGGGACAGAAUCCUUGAGCCGGUAUUUUUUCUUUUUAAUGUAUGUAUCCUCAACAAUGUCCUGAACAUAGUAGGUGCUUAAUAAAUAUUUGCUGAAUGAGUACAUGCAUCAGUCUGAUGUGCCCUGGCUCACUCCUGCUGACCUCAUUUUAUCUUCUUGCCGAGCGAGUUACAGACAUGCUGGUCUCCUGUGUGUUCCUUGAACCUGUCAGGCUUGCUGGGCUGUGCUCACUAUCCAGACACCUGGAUCCCCAGGUCUCUGCAUAGCUGCCUCUUAUCUCUGAGGUAUCGGCCCAAAUGCCAUCUCUCCUAAGAGGCUUUUCCUAACCACCCAGUUCCAGCACUGUCCAGACAGAGGUGGCCCAGUUGAAUACCUGAGUUCUCAGGGCCAUGCAGAGCAGCCUGACCAUGAGGAUGGGCCCCUGUGGUGUACGACCACAGCUCUUCAAAGGUCACAAUUUCCAGUCUUCCAAGCAGUCUUCUGAUUACGAACAUGGUUUUCUCCUUUCACUUAAGAGAUUUGGGGGGCUCAGAUCUCAGCACAGAUAUCUGGAGAGUGUGGGGUCAGGGAAGAGCAGCAAAAGGAAUGGAUGUCCAGACAUAGGGCACACUCAACAGAGAGAGAGAGAGAAGAGAAGAGAAAAGAGAGGAGAGAGAAGAUGAGACGAGAGAGAGAAGAGAGAGAG